rnacentral:rRNA from 1 species
AGUGAACGCUGGCGGCAGGCCUAACACAUGCAAGUCGAACGGCAGCACGGCAGUAGCAAUACUGUGGGUGGCGAGUGGCGGACGGGUGAGGAAUACAUCGGGAUCUACCCUGUUGUGGGGGAUAACGUAGGGAAACUUACGCUAAUACCGCAUAAGAACUGAGGUUGAAAGCGGCGGACCGCAAGGCGUCGCGCGAUUGGAUGAACCGAUGUCCGAUUAGCUAGUUGGCGGGGUAAAGGCCCACCAAGGCGACGAUCGGUAGCUGGUCUGAGAGGACGACCAGCCACACUGGAACUGAGACACGGUCCAGACUCCUACGGGAGGCAGCAGUGGGGAAUAUUGGACAAUGGGCGCAAGCCUGAUCCAGCCAUGCCGCGUGGGUGAAGAAGGCCUCGGUUGUAAGCCUUUGUCCGUAAGAAAGACAUUCGUUAAUACCGGUGUUCUGACGUACCGGGAGAAUAAGACACCGGCUAACUUCGUGCC